rnacentral:rRNA from 1 species
GUGGGGAAUUUUGGACAAUGGGCGAAAGCCUGAUCCAGCAAUGCCGCGUGUGUGAAGAAGGCCUUCGGGUUGUAAAGCACUUUUGGCAGGGAAGAAACAGUGCGUGCUAAUACCAUGCGCGAAUGACGGUACCUGCAGAAUAAGCACCGGCUAACUACGUGCCAGCAGCCGCGGUAAUACGUAGGGUGCAAGCGUUAAUCGGAAUUACUGGGCGUAAAGCGUGCGCAGGCGGCUUUGUAAGACGGAUGUGAAAGCCCCGGGCUCAACCUGGGAAGUGCAUUCGUGACUGCAAGGCUAGAGUGUGUCAGAGGGAGGUGGAAUUCCGCGUGUAGCAGUGAAAUGCGUAGAGAUGCGGAGGAACACCGAUGGCGAAGGCAGCCUCCUGGGCCUGCACUGACGCUCAUGCACGAAAGCGUGGGGAGCAAACAGGAUUAGAAACCCCUGUAGUCC